CGAGUCCUUGCAGAUCUCUCAGUUUGCAGAAUGAUGGCACUGUACACAACAGCUGAAACUCUGAAACUUUAGUGUUUAUUUUCAGCUUGUGAUAGAGACUCUGCCUUGCUUUUAUGCAGGAGCACGAUAGAAAAUGCUUCUGCAAGAAGGAAUUAAUGAAGAGAACUGCAAAAGAAUGUGUGACGACCUCUCCUGACACGGCAAAAACUUUCCGCCCAUGUCACGACAAAGGGGAGAAGCUUUAAUGAAACCACUGCAGCUGUUCUCCUUUUAAAAGCAAGAUCAGCAAUCUCAGCUUGACAAAGCUACUGUGCAAUAUGUUUCUUUUGUUGUUGUUAGUUGUUUUAGGAAAAUGUUGUAAUCAUUAUGCAAGAUAGGCCUAUUUCUUAGGCUGCCCCUGCAAAGAAAUUUGGCUUCUUUUUUUUUCCAGCCACCCUAGUUUGCACAUAUUUGUUCUAACUGAACAUUAAUUGCUCACAUUGGUGUGAGUGAAGAACAUGAACUGUAAUUAUCCUUCUAAUUCUCCCUUUCAUACCAUAUUUCUACUACUCCACCUGACACUGAGGUUCUGUAGUGAUUACUUCAUUAGUGAUGAAGAAUGGCCUAAUCAGUUAAAGCUUUGCUAGAAAACUCUUGUUUGCCAAUACUGGAAGGAGGCACCAACUUUUCCCCUUUCUUUCUUUUUGGAGAAAGGUGCAUCUGAAUGAUAGUGACCCAGUGAACAUUACAGCAUUAAUCACCUCCCUUUGUCUCAUCUAUGCAAAGUAGGAUUAGAAUUAAAAUGAUGACUGCUUAAUCCCUUUGAUUUUCUUUUACUAAAUAAAUAUUAAUCUACAAAUCA
rnacentral:lncRNA from 1 species